CUGGUUAGAGAGGACAGUCAGGAGGGGCAACAUCAGGCUUCAAGCUGUGUGAAAGGGGAAGUUUUGCUCAGCAGCAAGUUCUCUCUGGAUUAAGAGUUUUGUGAUUGGCAGCCACAGUGAACUAGAGAGACGCGUCUGCCAGGGAGAGCCUGCACCUCCCACAAGGUGGCCUCAGGAAAGGAGUCUGUAUUCUGCAAUCACUGACUUGCUGCUGAAAAAUCCAGAUGAAAAGAAAGGCGGGGCUUUCCUGCUGGCUUCAGUCUGGAGAUCUGACUCCAGCUUCCUGCUGGCCACCAGGCAGGGGUGGUGGAAGGAGCGGUUUUUGCAGGCAGACGACUUCGAUCAUAAACUACCAAGAUACCUGGAGCGAUCAGAUGAGCCUCGGCCUACUCUUGAAGCUAAAGGAAGGCUGCUAGCAAGACUGGCAUCUGGGCUUGGCUGUGCGUGUUUUCCAUUGUGGGAAAAUAUACAUAACACAAUAUUUGUAAUUUGAACCUUUUAACCAAAGUGUGCACGCAGUGGCAUUGAAUAUAUUCACUUACACUUAAGGCACAAUGACAAGGCAGCAAAGGGCUGUUGGGUGAUUAGUUCACCACACUUGUUGCAACUGUUUGUACUGCAGAGUUAAAACAUACCAGCAUUCAACCCAUGUCUCCUCUCUUGAAAUAAACUGUCCCCUUUGCAAGGGA
rnacentral:lncRNA from 1 species